AGACUUGGAGUACAGCUGCUCCGAGGGACAAGCCCUGGGAAUCUUCAAGAGAGAAUGUGCAACUUUCUUGUGUAUGUCUAAUUGUGUGAAGCUGACACAUGGCAAGGGCCAUGUGGCAAUACAGGGUUUUCUGGGGAGGUGUCAUUGUUUAUAUUACAGGUGGAAUGAGGUGAAGUGAUGGAAGGAACGAGAGUACUGGCGGAUUGGUAUGUCCUGUUUGGACACAAAGCAUACCUGUCACUCCCAGAAGGUUGGGGAGGAUUGUGUGCCUUGGUAAAACUGAGUGAUCGCAUGGAAAUCAACAGAUAUGCACUCCUGAGGCAUACAAGUCUUACCAAGGUCCUGGGAAUGGCCUUGGCAGAGGAAUAGAAGACGAUAUGUACGAUGGUGUUGCAAAACAGACUGACGCUGGACCUGAUAACAGCAUCCCAAGGUGGGGUGUAUAAGCUGAUUGGUGAGAUGUGUUGCACAUUUAUCCCAGACGGAUAUUCCACAGGCGGCGACAUCUAUAAGGCCCUGCAGAAUCUAACAGCACUCCAGAAGUAUGUGACCAAUCACACGCCAGGAGCCUCAACACAGGAUUGGCUCACAUGGCUGACUUCUGGACCCUGGUGGCAUAUGCUACUGAAGAUUUUGACCCCAGUAUUUGUUUUUUUACUCUCUAUGUUUGUUGCGGUGACCUGUAUUCUCCCUUGCAUUAAGAGCAUGAUACAAAGGAUGGUGACUAAUACCUUUAUCUACUACGCAUUAGCCCAGGAAGACCCAGAGAAGGGCAUGAAAGAUUGUGUUCAAAUGAAGUAAGCAUUAAAAAUGCACCUGCGAGUGAUGCUGUACUGAUAGUUGACAACACAAGCUUUUAAAAUGUCAAACAGGAGGGAAUAAUGUUAGGUUUAAUGUAUGUGUUGUAGGUUGCCAUUUAAAAAGCUAGAAUGCUUCUGUUUGCGCUCUAUGUAACCCACACAUGAGUACGUGCACGACCUCGAUAAGGGGAACAGCCUUGAGAAGAACAGAUUCUACCGACAAUAUCCUGGGAGAGCUGCACUCCCAUCAUAUAACCACACACAUUGUAUAACCAUGCUUGCACAGCACAAUCACACUUUGUAACCAGUUAUAGUAAUUUCUCAUAGGUAAUACAACAACAAGCUUUAUGAAUAUUCAUGUGUGUAACCAAUAAAAACAACCUGCAGGGGGAAAGCAAGUUGAAGUGGGUUGGAGACAACUGCUUCCCUCUCGCAAGUGAAAACUUGAGCUCUGUGUGACCUCGUUCCUGAGUGAGUUUCUGUUUAUCCAGCAGUAUCAGGGGUAAAACUCUGACAAGUAGUGUGUCACACAAACAGCAAAUAUUGUCAAAAAAAAAGUAAGAAAACAUGGGGGUGCUUUGAUUCAUUUUGGAGCUGCUUCAGCACCCCGGAAAAUGGGCUAAAAAACACAAAAAGUAAUCACUGAAAAGUCCACAAUACCUGAAGUUUUUAAUAGUUUCUGCAGCUGAAAGUAGCCGUUUAAACAGUUUAAAUCUUAAUGUUAGUGUUGGAGCUAUUUGUUCUUGAUUUUUAUUAUUUUGAAAUUUGUUAAAGUUUGUUGUUGGUUUCCCAAACUGGAUAAAUAAACCAUAAAACGCGACUUUCAAGUUUGGACAGUCGACUUCUUUUGCCUGCGUACAAGAUCUUAUCUCAGUGCAGCAGUGCCUUGUGGAUUUUUAAUUGUUGGACCUUUGGUUGGUCAAACUAACGGAAUCACCACUACAUAAAGUAAAAACUCUUGCCCGUGGACCAGAAGGAAUAAUCCUUCAUUAAUGGAUAUGUUGGAUAUAUAGAUUUCAUGGAUCACCAUCGAACAAAAGUUAUUAGAUCGUCUUUGGAGUAAUCCAGAAGGAGUUGCUGCUUGAGGCUUGGAUCAACACGUCACUCAUUGAUCAAAACUGAGCUGCCCAAGCAUAUGCUGCUCCUAGAUGUAAAGACCAUAUGGAACUCUCUGUAUUUGAUGAAGGAGAGAUUCUGCGAGCAGUUUCCUGCCAUCCAGGCUGCAGCCAUCGAUCCACGGAUAAGAAAGUCCAUGUAAAAGGAAAGACUGGCUAAAAUGGGCAAUGAUGACUUAAGAAAAGCAGAGGAGUUUGUGGUGCUCAUGCGGAAGCACCUCAUCUCCACACCAGCAGCGACAAAAGUCCGACCUGUGGUGAGAUUCUGCCCAUCCUGCAAAAGGUACUGCAACACUACACCGUGCAAGAAGAUGACUGUCUUCACAAGGAGCAGAACAUUUGGAAAGAUCUUUCCAAACGAUACCAGGAUGCUGAUAUCCAGAGAUUCCAGGAGGAGGCCACCAUUUUGGACUCCUGAUUUAAAUCCAAAGUGAAUAAGGAUGAAGUCUGGGACAGGAUCAGGGAAGCAGCAAACACAGAGGCAGGACCAGAUGAGCACCUGGAGCAAGGAGACACACAGGGAGAGUUGUUCGAAGAUGAAGAUGAGGAUGAAAAAGACUAUGCAAGUUUAGUUCAUCGUGAAGAUAAUUUAGAUGUCAUGGAUUGUUCAUUUUCUGCUUAACAUUUUUAUUAUGUCCAUUUAAUUUCAGUAAAGCAGAAAAAAAAACUGCCUUGGAGGAACUCUUUGAAGAGGAGGACAACAGGCUGCAGUCAUUCCAUCAACGGCAGCCCGUUCUUUCCCUGGCCCAGAGAGUGGAUCAGGAGAUCCAGCUGUAUAGAAGCCUAACCCCCAUCCCCUGCAAGGAUAACGCCACCCUAUGGUGGUGGAGCAAGAGAGAGACUCUGCCCCUGCUGUCAGCACUGGCUGAAAGCUUUCUGUGUGUGCAGGCAUCCUCCACCCCGUCUGAGAGGUGGUUUUCCACAGCUGGAGAGACCAUAAGUCCAGAAAGAUCACGUAUCCUUCCUUAAAAAACAGAUAUGCUUAUAUUUCUGCAAAAGUUUGUAAUUCUCCAUAGUUGAUGGAUGCAGAAUUGCACAGUGUCAUUGGACUUGAGUUGAUUAUAUUUUUUGCUGGCUGAUGUAGUUUUAUUUUUGAGUGCUCAGCUCAUAUAUACUUUUAAAAAGGAGAGUGUAAAUGUUACUGGGCAUCCUUGUGUAAUUGCCACAGAAUAAUUUAUGUUAUACUUUGUUAUUGCUGCAGAAGAAUAUUUAUUUUAUUAUUAUUUUACAUUUACAUUUUUUUUUCUGGGGACCUGUGGCACCCCAUCGAGGAGCCGUAGGCUGUGGAUCUCUUAAGAUCUCACUGUUGGGUUUGUAAGGUCAUGCUAGUCUUAAAUUUUGUUCAAAGAUUAGCUUAUAACUUUGUUUUAUAUCUUAUCGACCUGUAUGUUCUCCUUUAUAAAAAAUAAGAAUCGAUGGGAGAAUCGAUAAAGAAUCGAAUUGUUAAACAGAAACUAAAAUGGAAUCAGAAUCGUAGAGGCAUGAGAGCUGGGGAUUUCCUCAAAUGUAGGAGGUGGAUAAAUGGGCAAGACUUUCUCUACAAGUCAGAGGAGGAGUGGCCUAAACUAGAUGUGGAUUGCAGUGUAAUUUCUGCAGAUGACCCAGAGGUCAAAAAGGACCUGACAGUGAAUGUCAUUGUGAAGGAAUCACAAAAUCCUACAAACUAAACACUUCUUGUCUUGGGCAAAACUCAAAGUCUCUGUAGCCUGGUUUUUAAAGCUGAAAGAGGCCUUAGUGUUGCUCGGGCAGAAAGAGGAAAGAGUUGGUUGCUGCAGAUCUGAAUAAGAAUGAUCGGGAAAGUCAGAAGCAAGAAGUGUAGGCAAGAAUGGAAAGAUUUAAUGGUUGGAGCAGACAAUACCCAGGUCCUGAAUGUAAUGACACUGGUAAAAUGUACAAUCCUGAACUCUGGCCUGAAGGGGCUCUGGUCUGGUGUUUUUAUGAACCACGCAGGCCAUGGUAAGGUGGUGUCAAGCACAGUGGAUCCAGCAGGGGAGAUAACUGCACCUUCUGGUGCUAAUGUAUCAACAUGAAGAUGUCUCUUCGGUUAUUAUCUUACAACUGUCGUGGCCUGUGUUUGGGACAGAGUGCAGGGGAUAAAGCUCGAUGGAUUGUUGUAGACAGGUGGAAUGCAGAAUCUGACAUUUUAUGUUUGCAGGAGACAUGGUAGGCCAAACAGGACUUGGGAAAACUCAACUGCCUUAAUGCAAGAUUUUGGGAGUGGGGGAAUCAACAACUGAUCCCAGCACAACUAUAGUCAGAAGCACGAUACCAGAAGGGGUUGCUGUGCUCUGGGACAAAAAAAAUAGACCCUGUGAUAAAGCCUAUUAGACUGGAUGUAGACUGGUUUAUUGGUAUACAAUAUACACAGAGUAAUAGCUUUAUUAUUCUUAAUGUUUUUACUCCCUAUGAAUCUUUUGAAAAUGAGGAGGAAUACCUCAGUAGUCUGGCUUUUAUUAAUGCAUUUAUUCAAGAUAAUGAUACUUACAGUAUAUACGUUGUGGGUGAUUUUAAUGCCUCUCAGACAUCAGUUCUCGGUUUGCUAACCACUUAAUCCAUUUCUGUGAAGAUAAUAAUCUUAUCCUGUCUACCAAAUUGUUACUGCCUGCAGAUAGCUACACAUACAUAAGUGAAGCCUGGCAUAGUACAUCAUGGCUGGACCAUUGUAUCUGUAUAGCUGAUGGACAUGCAGCUUUAGAAAUCUCAUACUUAAUAGUCAUGUUAACUGUGUCAGACCAUAUACCUUUUGAUUUUACUCUGAAUGUGGAACCAAUGCCAGCAACAACUGUAAAUAAUAUAGCUAAUAUUGCUACCAGUGUAAAAUUAGAUUGGCCAGCGUUAGUGACUUUAGUGACUGCAAGACUGUCUUCAACACAAAGUCACUAACAAGAAUUGAGGCAUGGAAUGUAAGAACUUUACUCCAAUGCGGGAAACUGGCCCAAUUGCUGCAUGAAUUCAACCGGUACACAGUACCGGAACACAUCAGAGGAGUAGGCAUUGUCACAUCCAAGAAGGCAGGGACAGAUCUCGUAGGCUGGAAGCCCAUCAAUGACUCACAGCCCGAUUUCACACAAACGUCACAAAGAUCACAAUCGUCCAAGUAUAUGCUCCGACUUAAGAUGCAGAAUACACUGCCAAAUAUACCUUCUACGACCACCUUCAUGAAGCCUUACGCGAAAUCCCUCACGAUGACAUUGUCUUGCUUAUUGGAGACCUCAACGCAAAGAUCAAUAAAGAGCGGCUUGGUUUGGAACAUUUUAUCAGUCCCCACAGUUCGGCCUCUUGAGUCGCAGCCACUUCUCACGUGGCCAGCCCCCUGAACUGUUGAGUUGCCCCUGAACCGUUUCACCUGCUCCUGUGCUGUUGCCCUCCUGGUCAUGCUUCUUGGCUUUGGACAACUGAGCAGUCAACCUUAGGGCCGGCCUCCAGAAUUGUAUUUUUGGACUCUGUUUUGUUUUGUUUUUGCUCGUUGCUCCGACUGCUCCAGUUGUGCUCCAUGUUCCCUAUGUUUAGUGUGAAGUCCACGUCUCUGUGUUAUUCGUCCUGUUUUACUUUAACAUAAGACAAGGGACUGUCACUGUGUCUAGUUUUGCUUCACCCUGGCCUCAUCAUGUUGAUUGCUCCCAGCUGUGCUCCCCUCAUGUGUCUCAUUUCUUCAUUUCCCUCAGUGCAUUUUAGCCCUGUGUUUCUCUCUGUCAGUGUCAUGUCAUCCCCUCACCAUGCUGUGUGUUUCUCCUUCUGUGCUCCCUGAGAUCUCUGUCCCUAGUUUCCAGGUUUCCCAGUGAUGGUAUUACAGAGUUUUGUUUUUGCAAGUUUAUUUUUGUGAAAAUUAUUCAACUGCUAUAAAGCAGCCUCUUUAAGUUUAUUCCUCCGUUGAGUGUUUUGCGUUUGGGUUCUACAUCCUGCCUACCACACAGCCAUACCCUGACAAAAAGUAAGAUUAUUCUUUUGUUGUAUUUCAAUACUUCUGUUUCAUCAAAGCAAUUUCUUUUUUUCUGUUUGGGAGUUACACAUUUCACAGAUUUCAACAUUUUCUCAAAAAUGUAAAUUACAUCAACCAGCAAUACUUUUAGCACUGCCUAGUAUUGAAAUCUUGUAUCAAACAAAUCUAAAUUGUGUCUAUGUUCUAUAUUUGUGGGUGUGAAAUUGCACUACUUGCAUUCUCUCACUACUGCAGAAGACAAUAUUUUCAUAUACAGCCAUAUGAAUACAUAUCACCCUUCAUAGGAGUGUGGUGCUGAAGAAACUAGUUUAUAAGCGUUUAGAAUUUCUUUUUGCAGUCAUUGUACCAACCUCAAUUGUCAACAAUCAUGGAAACAUGGAUCCCUAAACUAAAAAUUGUUCGAUAUGAUUUCCUGAGAUAUACAUACUCUUGUGUCACAGAUGCAUGUCAUGGCACCACCAAUUACACAAAAAGCCUACAUGUUAACUUUUGUACUUUUCUUAUGAGUAGUUGAUUACUGUUGACCUAUCAGCUUUAAGUACACUAUUCUUCUAAGACAAGAAAAAAAAAGUAUAAAUUGACAUGUUCUACUUUUAUUGGACUAGUUUUGCUUUUGUCUGUUGCAUCAAUUUUGUUGUUUCAAAUCAAUCUGUGAUAUUUAAUAGCAGUUUUUACUCUAUAUUAGGCAUACAUUUUUGAAGUACUCUUUCCAAAUUCAGUCAGGUUUGAGUUAGAGUAUGAAAUCCUUUGGUUUAAAAGUCUUAAAACCAUGGUAAAAGGGUUUUUAUUCACCAUUCACUGAGACAAAGUCAGAGACUGACUUCCCAUGUUUGACUGAAAGCUUUUGAUAAUUUUACUUUACUUUGUAUUUUGUGAGCAUAACUUAUGAAAUAUGCCUUAGCUGUUUUGAUAACUGCAUUAACUGUGGUGAGAAUGACCUUGCUUGUGUGAGAACAGCACCAAAGAAAUCCAUAAAAAUUGUAAUUUAAACAUUAUAUUUGUACUAUACAAAUACAAAUUCAUCGACCAAUAGAACUGACAGUAGUAAUGCUGAAGAGGAUUUUUUCAAAUGCUCUUUGCCACAGCAAACAUGUUUUUGUUUUUUUGUCAUUGAUGAGAAAGAAUGGUAAGACCUAAGAGGAAAAAAAAAAACUCAGAAAGGGAGGCUUUUCCAGGGUCUGCAGUGGACUAAUGUUAUAGCCACUGGCAUAAAGUCAGUACACCCCUUUUGCAUUUUGGCAUUUAAGAGGCAGAGCAUCAAAACCAGUCAGUCAAGGACUAAGGCACCUGUAUUCUCUUGUACGCCAUAUUCAGGAUUGUCCAGUGACUAUGAAAGUGGUGGCAAAAGGGGGAGGGGGAGGGGGGGGGACCCCUGAAGUGUUUUUCCAAGGAGGUGAGGUGUGCCACAACACAAAAGAACUGAAAACAAGACCGGUGCAUGGAGAGUCCAGAAAUGUCAUUGUGGUCAUUUGCUUCUAGCACUUGUUCUGGGAUUUUAUGAUGACAAUCCAGGUAAAGACUUGAAACUGGAAACCAGAGUGUCGGGAUGAGGCACCAUCAAAAGAUGUCCUUUAAAAUAUUUCAUGGUCGCACAGAAGAAAAAAAAAAAGACCAUUUAAAUAAAAUGGAUAAGUAUUCAUAGACAGACAGCAAGGAUUUCCAAAUGAAGUCCUUCAGAACAUGCUCCUGCAUCCUAAAGGGAUAAACACUCUUUCAGUCUUUUACCAGAGGUGCAUAGAAGACAUUGUUUCCUUUGAUGCGACAGGAAGAAUCAUCCGUAAAGAUAAUGUUUCUGCUACUCCGCACUAUGUCUAUGAAGUCAUCAUGAGAAAUCCAUUCAAGGGAUCAUCACCACUACCAGUUGCAACAUAUGUGACAUGUGACCACAUUACUGUCUGUGACAUAUUUUCUUCAAGCUUUUCAAAAAGAGCUUACAGGAUGUAUAAAACCAGGACAAACAAAAGGCCAGUGAUGAUUAUAUGCGAUGGCUCUCUUGUGCUUCUACAGUCCAUUUCAAUAACAUUCUGCAGAGUAGCUCUGGAAGUCCUGGAGAGAUACUUUCAGCUUAUCACUGGACAGAGACACAGACAACUUUGAUAUACCCAUUCUCCACCGAUGUUUAAGCCACAUAAUGAAGAACGCAAAGGAUCUGUGCAAAAGGAGGUAUGUGUGUUGCAGUCUGUGAAUACAAGUGUUAUUUUGGCGCUUUCAGUUUUCAUAUACAUUUCUCGCAUAAUAUUUGUUAGUAUUUUGGGCCUUUUAGUUUAUGGUUGAAUUGCUGUUUCAUUUCUAUGACUUUGUUUCGUCUUUAUUAUUUUUACUUAAUGUGGUUCCUGCUAAUGAUUACACUUUGUUACACUACUUGGCUUGUGUUUAGUAUUACUGCCUUGACAUUGGUAAUCUGUAUCUUGUUGUCUAGAUUUAAAGAUUGUCUUUAAAUCUUUGGCAUGCGCACAUAUUUGGACUUCAAGCAUGUUCUUCAAAUUUAAAAGAAAUGUAUGACAUUAUUAUAAGUGGAACAGUCCUUUUCAAAAGUCCAUGCAGUGGACCAGAAGUUAUGAAACACCUAAACAACCUCAAAAUGCUGAUGGAUCAGACGGGGAAUGUCGAUAUUGAAGACACAGGCGUCGUUCCAGAGGACUAUAUGGUGGUAAUAAAAUUCAGCUUGUUCUCUGUUAAUGGUUGAGAUAUUAACUGUGUUCAGGACAUUGUGUGACACCAGUAACACCAUUUUGUACUACAUUUCUGUGUGUUAUGAACACAUAUGUACAUAGGUGUAGGGCUAUAUCAGUUUAUAAUUGACCUUAGUUGAAUUUUAGAUCACAUGCAGUUUGCUUUGUUUCUCAGAACAUGAAUGUUUGUGCUUAAAAAGUAAUGCAUCAGCUAUUAUUACAAAGCACUUUUUAGAUAACAACCAUUUAUUGGAAUUUUGUAUGAACUGUCUUAUAGCAUAGCCCCAAAAAAUUUAGGAGUCAACAAUACAUAUACAUACAUAAAGACCUUAUGUCCCACUUCCUAGGCCGCAUUUGAAGGCCGAUUACGUCACAGCCAGGCUCCCAAUUCGAGGGCUUCUCCAAAUGCAGCCGACAAAUGAGUCCUUCAUUUCCCUGGAUUUGAAGGAUGGGUCGGGUGUAUCUUUCGUGGCCCAGUCUAUCCCAGAAUUUAUAGCGCAGCCCAGCCAAUUCACUUUCCAACAAUGGCGGCAGCUACAGAAGCAGUAGAAGCGGCGGCAGAGGACAAAUUCAUUUUUAAAUUUAAGUUAUUUUUGAAGUAGCAAUACAUAUGUUAAAAUGUUAAAGUUAAUAGAAGUUUAAUUUUAAAUGUUAAGGUCAAGUUUUUGUUUUUUUUACAGUCGUUAAACUUACGUGACUAGAUGCACAGUCCCGCUCUUUUUUUUUUCUUUUUUUUUUUAAC